ACUCAGUGUUGUCCUUUAAGCAGGUUUCUGCUACUAUUUAAGAUGCCAUUAUUCAGGCAACUUUGAGUGGGAUCAAAGUUUUUCUGCUUCUGCUGUGUCUGCAGAUGUUAAAUUUGUAAGCAUGACUCCGGGUUUGAUGGAGAAGUAUCAGGAACUCAUCAAGUUCUGCUUGAAGGUGCCUGAGAGGUGACUGCAGUCUCUUUUGAGUUCUCCUUAAUAGUUUGGUUGAUUUUUGCAUUAAAUCCUCUAGAAGUUUCCACUUCAGUUGCCCUGAAACCUGAUUCCCUCUCUGCUGUCUGUGUUCUCACACAUUUACCUGGCUGGUGUUCAGCUCUCUACAAAGAAAAGAAGCUGCUAUUUACAGCACAGGUGUCACUAGGAGGAAGAGAGCAAAAGCAAGAACAACAAUAGAAACAAAGACAACAGACAGAAAACAGGGAGAGGAGUAUGAAAGAAGGUAAAAAAACAGUGUGCAGAACAAGACACUAAAUAAGGAUUCAUUUUCUUCUGAAUACUGGAAUCCAAGCAGAAGGCAAACCUCACAUUCAUCACUUUGUGUAUUGCUAGCUUUUGAAAUACACAGGAAUAUAUUUCCUAUAUAUAUAAGAAUGUCCACUCAGAGUACUCUGGAAGAUUUCUUACCACUUCUCUACUUUAGACUACCUUUGAAAUACAAUGCCAGGUUUCUGUAGGGAAGUGGUGCAUUCAUAUUUAUUUUUUAAUUUAUUUUAAAGGCAUCAUACAUCUUAUUGAGUUUUUUUUUCCCCUCAAAUUCUCCAUUUCAUCUACAUCUAUGAUAGGUGUGAGAACAGCAUUAUAUACAAGUAUGUUCA